CCGGAGGCCGCGGCAGGAGCAGGGCUGGCUCUGCGGCCGAGACCGCGGGCCUGUGUGAGGCCGCCGCAUCCUCCCGGGUGACAGGGUGACUCCGUCAUGAAAGAGCAGAACAAGGACACGCACCCCACAGCAACUGCGGGAAGUGGCUCUGCGUGUUUCCACGGCGAAGACUAGCUUGCAUUUCUAUUGUUUUACUUAGAACCCGUUAGGGAUUAUUUAUUGAUAGUGUACGGUGUGCCUAUGAUUCCGUCAGCAAACUGGAGCAUAAUAUUAUGGGAGCACAAACACUUUGGUUACAUAUUAUGUGACUAUUCUGAUG
rnacentral:lncRNA from 1 species